rnacentral:rRNA from 1 species
CAGUAGUCACGAGUUUGAUCCUGGCUCAGAACGAACGCUGGCGGCAUGCCUAACACAUGCAAGUCGAACGAGACCUUCGGGUCUAGUGGCGCACGGGUGCGUAACGCGUGGGAAUCUGCCCUUUGCUUCGGAAUAACAGUUAGAAAUGACUGCUAAUACCGGAUGAUGUCUUCGGACCAAAGAUUUAUCGGCAAAGGAUGAGCCCGCGUAGGAUUAGGUAGUUGGUGGGGUAAAGGCCUACCAAGCCGACGAUCCUUAGCUGGUCUGAGAGGAUGAUCAGCCACACUGGGACUGAGACACGGCCCAGACUCCUACGGGAGGCAGCAGUGGGGAAUAUUGGACAAUGGGCGAAAGCCUGAUCCAGCAAUGCCGCGUGAGUGAUGAAGGCCUUCGGGUCGUAAAGCUCUUUUACCAGGGAUGAUAAUGACAGUACCUGGAGAAUAAGCUCCGGCUAACUACGUG